rnacentral:misc_RNA from 1 species
AAUUUCAUAUAACGAGUUACAGUUUGGUAUUUCUUUGGGGUCCUAACUAGUUGAUCUACCCCAAAGUGUCCCCUUUGUUGGAAAUCUAUGAUUCUGAUGGGUAAGUCAUAAAUGGAUCAAUUUGAUGGAAAAAAAAGGGGACACUUUGGGGUAGAUCAACUAGAUAUUGUUGCCAAUGUUUCCAUUCAAAAUUGCAGAGUACAAAUAAGUUUCUUCGUUAUAAUGAGGGGC